UCUGGGUUAGCUCAGUGGUAGAGCAUUUGCCUAGCAUAUGCGAGGCCCUGGGUUCAAUCCCAGCACUAGAA
rnacentral:tRNA from 1 species